rnacentral:rRNA from 1 species
UACAGAGGCCUCGAGCGUUAGGCGGAAUCACUGGGCUUAAAGCGUGUGUAGGCGGACUUCUAAGUACCUUGUGAGAUCCCACGGCUCACCCGUGGAACUGCUCGGUAUACUGGUCGUCUUGAGCCUUCUAGGGGCGAGUGGAACGAAUGGUGGAGCGGUGAAAUGCGUAGAUAUCAUUUGGAACGCCAAUGGUGAAAACAACUCGCUGGGGAAGUGCUGACGCUGAGACACGAAAGCCAGGGGAGCAAACGGG